rnacentral:rRNA from 1 species
GACGAACGCUGGCGGCGUGCUUAACACAUGCAAGUCGAACGAGAGCGUAGAGAAAGCUUGCUUUUUCUACAAUCUAGUGGCAAACGGGUGAGUAACGCGUAAACAACCUGCCCUACGGAUGGGGACAACAGCUGGAAACGGCUGCUAAUACCGAAUACGUUCCGAAAGUCGCAUGACUAUCGGAAGAAAGGAUGGCCUCUAUUUAUAAGCGAUCGCCGGAGGAGGGGGUUGAGUCUGAUUAGCUGGUUGGGGGGGGAACGGCCCACCAAGGCGACGAUCAGUAGCCGGCCUGGAAGGCUGAACGGCCACAUUGGAACUGAGACACGGUCCAGACCCCUACGGGAGGCAGCAGUGGGGAAUCUUCCGCAAUGGGCGAAAGCCUGACGGAGCAACGCCGCGUGAGUGAAGACGGCCUUCGGGUUGUAAAGCUCUGUUAUACGGGACGAAUAAUCUUGUGGUUAAUACCCAUGAGAAGUGACGGUACCGUAAGAGAAAGCCACGGCUAACUACGUG